UGGUCUGAGAGGAUGAUCAGCCACACUGGAACUGACACACGGUCCAGACUCCUACGGGAGGCAGCAGUGAGGAAUUUUGCGCAAUGGGGGAAACCCUGACGCAGCAACGCCGCGUGAGUGAUGAAGGCUUUCGGGUCGUAAAGCUCUGUCAAGUGGGAAGAAACCACGAGGUGAUAAUAUCGCUUUGUGCUGACGGUACCACUGAAGGAAGCACCGGCUAACUCCGUGCCAGCAGCCGCGGUAAUACGGGGGGUGCAAGCGUUAUUCGGAAUCAUUGGGCGUAAAGGGCGCGUAGGCGGUUUGUUAAGUCAGAUGUGAAAGCCCGGGGCUCAACCCCGGAAGUGCAUUUGAUACUGGCGGACUUGAGUAUGGGAGAGGGAAGUGGAAUUCCUGGUGUAGAGGUGAAAUUCGUAGAUAUCAGGAGGAACACCGGUGGCGAAGGCGACUUCCUGGACCAAUACUGACGCUGAGGCGCGAAGGCGUGGGUAGCAAACAGGAUUAGAUACCCUGGUAGUCCACGCAGUAAACGGUGAUCACUAGGUGUAGCGGGUAUUGACCCCUGCUGUGCCGCAGUUAACGCAUUAAGUGAUCCGCCUGGGGAGUACGGCCGCAAGGUUAAAACUCAAAGGAAUUGACGGGGGCCCGCACAAGCGGUGGAGCAUGUGGUUUAAUUCGACGCAACGCGAAGAACCUUACCUGGGUUUGACAUCUCGGGGAUUUUUUGGAAACAAGAAAGUGCCCUUCGGGGAGCCCGAAGACAGGUGCUGCAUGGCUGUCGUCAGCUCGUGUCGUGAGAUGUUGGGUUAAGUCCCGCAACGAGCGCAACCCUUAUCUUUAGUUACCAUCACUUCGGGUGGGGACUCUAAAGAUACUGCCCCGGUCAACGGGGAGGAAGGUGGGGAUGACGUCAAGUCCUCAUGGCCUUUAUGCCCAGGGCUACACACGUGCUACAAUGGGCGAUACAAAGGGUAGCGAGCCUGCGAAGGUGAGCCAAUCCCAAAAAGUCGUUCUUAGUUCGGAUUGGAGUCUGCAACUCGACUCCAUGAAGCUGGAAUCGCUAGUAAUCGCGGAUCAGCACGCCGCGGUGAAUACGUUCCCGGGCCUUGUACACACCGCCCGUCACACCAUGAGAGUUGGUUGUACCAGAAGUUGUUGGGCUAACCCGCAAGGGAGGCAGGCACCUAAGGUAUGGCUGAUGAUUGGGGUGAAGUCGCAACAAGGUA
rnacentral:rRNA from 1 species